CCCUCUCAGUCCCACGAAUUUCUCCUAACCAGCUGUAUCCCAUACAUCGAACUAAAUAGGCCCUCUGUUGGUGUGGAACAGGAGGGAAUGGACCUCAGCUACCAAGGUACUUACGUAUUCCUCAAAUUCAUCAGUCAGGUGAGGUUUCACGAAUGAAGUUUUUCCUGUCCCACCAUC